UUGCCUCUGUAGCUGUUGUUUGGGUAAAAUGGGUAGAAAAUCCACAGCCCGUAGACACCCAUACUUUAGAGGUCAAUCCAGUAGACAGUCUGAGGCUCCUAGGUCCCCCUCCCCAGACCCUCCUGCCUCUCCCCCCUUUGAGUUUCCUGUAGUUAGAGAGGAGGAUCCAGCUUUUCAGCCUUUUUCUCUCAGGUUUGUUCAUCCUGGGAGAACUGUUCAUGCUAAUAGUGUUCAGCUCUUUCGCUCUCAGGGAUUCCUUCAGCCCUUCAGAGUCCAGGGUUGGGAGCACCUUCUUAUCACUCCAUCAGACACCCAUCCUAGGAUUGUUAGGGAGUUCUAUGCAAACCUACACACCUUUAC
rnacentral:lncRNA from 1 species